rnacentral:tRNA from 1 species
CGCUAAGAAGCUAAAAUGGACCAUAGCGUCAGCCUUUUAAGCUGAAGAUUGGUGACUUCCGCCCACCCCUAGCGA